rnacentral:lncRNA from 1 species
GAUCCCUGGUACCAAAAAAAAAAAAGUUAAAAUUACUGUAUUUAUGCUGGAAACUCUGGGUAUGUCUGGGUCAAAGAAAUGUAUGAUGGGCAAUUACCAUUCAGAAUUCACCAAGCUCCAAUAAAGCUGUUUCACUUGAGCUCAGGAAAUGUAAACUGCAAUAAGGCAGAAAUUUGUAAAAACAAAAACAAUGAAAGUUACCCCAUAAACAUUUCCAAAACAGAUUAAUUAUAUUAAUUAUUUUUAAAAGUCCUUUAAACUAAACGUAAUACAUGUGUCUGGAGUGAAGACACUCAACAGCAAUGGCACUGCUUCCACACCAUCUACAUCUGCACCCAUCACAGCAGCCACACUGAGACCACUGUGGAAGAGCUACCAGAGGAUCCUCUGCUGAAAGCCAAGCGAAGACGGGUCUCUAAAGGUGAGCCUGGCUGGCUUCAGCUGCCUGCUCGGGAGGCCUGUGCAUGCGGCCUGGCGGACAGACAGGAGGUGUGGAUGUGAGGCGCGCUGCCCUGUAGACAGGCUUGGNNNNNNNNNNNAGCUUUGCCAUUCCCACACACCCCCACCCCAGAUCCCUCCCCAGAGCCUCGGGAAGUUGCUCCCACCUCCCUCCUCCCAGAGCCGGAUGUAGGCACUGAGGCCAGAGAUGGCCAAAGGCAAACAGGUGACCUGCGCCAGCAGAGACAGCGACCGCACCCCUUCCUUCCCCUACCCCAUUAGUGUUGUGUGAGACAGUUUGUUCUCCCCACCCCCAGGGGGCUUUUUGAUUAAUUUGUAGUUAUUUCUCCAUUAGAUGACUGGCCUGAGAGGGAAAUGACAAACAGUUCCUCUAACCACUUAGAAGACCCACAUUAUAGUGAGCUGACCAACCUGAAGGUGUGCAUUGAAUUAACAGGGCUCCAUCCUAAAAAACAACGCCACUUGCUGCACCUUAGAGAACGGUGGGAGCAGCAGGUGUCAGCCGCAGAGAGCAAACCUGGCCGCCAAAGCAGGAAGGAAGUGGCCCAGGCAGUUCAGCCUGAGGUCACAGCCCAGGGGAAUAACACUACUGAGGAGAAAGCCACCAGCAGGAAAAAGGCAGAGUCCAAAGGCAACAGAGGCUGGUCAGAAGAGUCCUUCAAAUCCAGUGACAAUGAACAAGGCUUGCCUGUGUUCGCCGGCUCUCCGCCCAUGAAGAGCCUUUCAUCCACCAAUGCAAGCGGCAAAAAGCAGACUCAGCCAAGCUGCACGCCAGCCUCAAGGCAGCCUGCCAAACAGCAGAAAAUUAAAGAAAGCCAGAAGACAGAUGUGCUGUGCACAGACGAGGAAGAGGACUGCCAGGCUGCCUCCUUGCCGCAGAAAUACACUGACAGCAGCGAGAAGCCAUCCGGGAAGAGACUGUGCAAAACCAAGCACUUGUUACCUCAGGAGCCCAGGCGCAGCUUGUCGCUGACAGGGGACUACUAUGUGGAGAACACUGACGGCAAGGUACCUCCUGACCCUGCAUCCCCAUGGGGCUGCUUCCCAAACCCAAAGCUCUCCUUUUCCUGGAUCCCCCCACGUGCCAGUCCUGUCCUUUCUUGAGGUGCAUGUUUGAAAGUUUCAAACUAGUAAGAAUGAGACCCCUUCCCCUCAC